rnacentral:rRNA from 1 species
AACGAACGCUGGCGGCAUGCCUAACACAUGCCAGUCGAACGAGACCUUCGGGUCUAGUGGCGCACGGGUGCGUAACGCGUGGGAACCUGCCCUUAGGUUGGGAAUAACUCCCCGAAAGGGGUGCUAAUACCGGAUAAUGUCUUCGGACCAAAGAUUUAUCGCCUUUGGAUGGGCCCGCGUUGGAUUAGCUAGUUGGUAGGGUAAAAGCCUACCAAGGCGACGUUCCAUAGCUGGUGUGAGAGGAUGACCAGCAACACUGGGACUGAGACACGGCCCAGACUCCUACGGGAGGCAGCAGUGGGGAAUAUUGGACAAUGGGCGAAAGCCUGAUCCAGCAAUGCCGCGUGAGUGAUGAAGGCCUUAGGGUUGUAAAGCUCUUUUACCCGGGAUGAUAAUGACAGUACCGGGAGAAUAAGCUCCGGCUAACUCCGUG